ACGCCGCGUGCUCUCGCUGGCUCCAAGGGAGCACAGCAAUGCGCUUUGUGAUCAAUUCUUAAGAUUAAAUUCUGACCAUAGUCUCCCGACAAGGUCUUUUAUUUUGUAAAAAUCCAUAAAAUUGCUAUCACUUGAUUAAUCUACACUAAAAACCUAUAUAAUUCGUAUUGCAUUUUGUGUAUAAUAUUAUGGAAUAAUAUGCAUAAUGAUGGUAACGCGAAUUUUUGGGAGACUUUUAUAAUCCUUAUGAUUCCGAUAUUAAUUUAAGCGGGGGUCGGGAAAUUUACAUGAGCUUUUAUCAUUCUUUUACAGAUCGUGACUAAAACACCACACGAGUAAUUAAAAAAAGGUCAUCAAGUUUAGAUUAUAGUGUCAGAUUAAGAUUAGAUUAGAGUGAGAUGAAGAUUAUAUUAGGGUGAGGGGUUAGAGUUGGGGGGUUAGAUUAGGGUUAGGUUCAUCUAUCCGUUUAAUGCGUCGCGAAUUUAUCGUAUUGAUAAUUUCGGACGUGUUUAACAAUUUACUCGUAUAGUAAAUUCAAACGUCGAGCUCAUGCAUGCUGAAUAUUCAAAUCUAUUGUAUUCGUAUUUCGCAAAUAUUGUAAGCAAGGGGAAUAGUUUGCGUAUUUCUUGAUUCAAAGAAAAUAAGAAACUUUCGCACACGCGUUAUCACAUACGAUCGUUAAUAUAAGCAGG